UAGGGAAUCUUCCACAAUGGACGCAAGUCUGAUGGAGCAACGCCGCGUGAGUGAAGAAGGUUUUCGGACCGUAAAGCUCUGUUGUUGGUGAAGAAGGAUAGAGGUAGUAACUGGCCUUUAUUUGACGGUAAUCAACCAGAAAGUCACGGCUAACUACGUGCCAGCAGCCGCGGUAAUCGUAGGUGGCAAGCGUUGUCCGGAUUUAUUGGGCGUAAAAGCGAGCGCAG
rnacentral:rRNA from 1 species